rfam:Actinomyces denticolens strain PA genome assembly, contig: Ga0104373_127
UUGCUUGUUUUUAUGGGCGUUCGGUGGAUGCCUUGGCAUCAGGGGCCGAUGAAGGACGUGGUGGCCUGCGAUAAGCCUCGGGGAGCCGGCUUGCGGGCUGUGAUCCGAGGGUUUCCGAAUGGGGGGACCCGGCCGGGGUCAUGCCCGGUCACCCGCGCUUGAAUUCAUAGGGCGUGGGGGGUGACGCGGGGAAGUGAAACAUCUCAGUACCCGUAGGAGAGGAUAUUCCGUGAGUAGUGGCGAGCGAAAGCGGAUGAUGGUUAAACCAUGGUCGUGUGAUACCCGGCAGGGGUUGCGGUCGUGGGGUUGUGGGGCAUUGUUUUCCCGUUGCUGCCGUGGCGGGGCGCAGUGAUCAAGCCUGUGUGGUAGCCGAAUCCCCUGGGAAGGGGGGCCGUAGUGGGUGAUAGCCCCGUAGGCGGAACCUGUGGGCCUGCGUGAUGGUGUUCCCGAGUAGCACGGGGCCCGUGGAAUCCUGUGUGAAUCUGCCGAGACCACUCGGUUGCCUGAAUACUUCCUGAUGACCGAUAGCGGAUGAGUACCGUGAGGGAAUGGUGAAAAGUACCCCGGGAGGGGAGUGAAAGAGUACCUGAAACCGGGCGCCUACGAGCCGUCAGAGCCUUCCUGUUUGUGGGGGUGAUGGCGUGCCUAUUGAAGAAUGAGCCUGCGAGUCAGUGGCGCGUCGCGAGGCUAACCCGUGUGGGGGAGUCGUAGCGAGAGCGAGUCCGAAAGGGCGGUUGAGUGGCGCGUCCUGGACCCGAAGCGGGGUGAUCUACCCAUGGCCAGGUUGAAGCACGUGUAAGAGCGUGUGGAGGACCGAACCCGCCUCAGUUGAAAAUGGGGGG